UCUCUCCUUCAGUCUCUCUCCCCCGCUUGUGUGUACUCUCUCUAAAAACAAAACAAAAAACAGCAACAACAAAACUAAACCUUCAUUUAUGCAAGUUUUGUUGGAACAAAAUAGAUAGACUGUUAGUCCCAACACUUUGAGGAUGUUAUCCCACUAGCCUCCGGCUUUCAUUUGUUGUGAGGAUGUUCAAGAGAUCUGUUGUUACUUUAUAGUUUCUUUGUAGCAGUGUUGGCAAACAUAUUAAAGGGACACAUAGUAAAUACUUUGUGGUUUGUGGGCCAUAUGGUUUCUGGGGUCUAAGCUGUAAAUACUCAAUUCUGUCACUAGAGGCCAAAGCAGCCCCACCCAACACAUAAGUGAACUGGCAUGGCUGUGUUCUAACAUCUUAGUGAUGAAAACGUUUGCCAGCCCCUGCUGGAGAGUGAGUUAUACCUUUCCUUUGAUUAAAGCCUUUUUUUUUAAUGUUAAUUUUUUAUUUUUGAGAGAGAGAAACAGAGAGAGAGAGAGAGAAACAGCAUGCAAGCAGGGGAGGGGCAAGGAGAGACGGAGACACAGAAUCUGAAGCAGUCUCCAGGCUCUGAGCUGUCAGCACAGAGCCCAACUCAGGGCUCGAACUCAUGAACCACGAGAUUAUGACCUAAGCCGAAAUCGGACACUUUACCAACUGAGCUAUCCAGGCAUCCAUCCCUCCUUGAUUGCCUUUUAAGAGCUCUUUGCCUUUGAUGUUUUGAAAUGUCACUGCUAUAUGUCUAGCAUAUUUUCUUUUUGUUUGUGCUUCUAGAAUCUAUCUUCUUUUUUAAAAGUCAAUUCUGGAAAAAUAUUACCCAUGAUCUUUCCAAAUAUUGCCUUUCUUACAUACUUUUCAGGACUCUUGUUUUGCCAGACCUUUUCAUUCUAUCCUUCAUAAUCAUUAUUGCUCCUUCAUAUUUUCCUUUGGUCUCUGUGGGUGGCACUAUAUGAAUUUUUCUCCAGUUCACUAAUUCUAUUUUUAGCUAUUUAUCCCUAUUUAUCCUGUCCAUGGUGGGUUUUGAUUUUAGGAAUUCUGCUUCUCAUUUUUAGAAAGUAACUUCUGGAAAAACUGUUCUUAUUUAAGAUAAGAUAAACUUGUUGGUAUAUAUUUAUCAGAAAAUGCAAACACAUGUGUACUGGAAGAUACAAAUGUGGUCACAACAGAAAAAAAGUAGAAGGAAUCCAAAUGUUCAACAGUAGAAUAAAUUUUGAUAUAGUCAUAUGAUAGAAAUAAUAAGGAUGAAUAUACAAAAAAAUGAAAAUGAACAAAUCAUUGCCAUAGACAACUGCAUAGAAGAAUCUCAUAAAAACACUAUUGAGUGAAAGAAUUCAUGACUCAUGGACAUAGGUUCAAAGGAGGAAGACCUAAUCUAUAGUAUAAGGAACGUAACAGAAUUCUAAGAUGGCCUGCAAGGUUCACUCCCACUGCUGUACAUGCACUGUGUUAUCCCCACGCUCUGACUGUGGGUAGGACUUGUGGAUACGACUUGAUUUCUCCCGUCAUUACAUUACAUUAAAUGGCAAUGGCAAAAAAUUUUUGCAGUUGUAAUUAAGGUCCCUCAACAGUGGAGUCUGAAUUAAUUAAUUAAAAGGAACAUUGGAGUGCCUGGGUGGCUCAGUCGGUUAAGCAUCUGACUUCAGCUCAGGUCAUGAUCUUGCGGUUCGUGGGUUUAAGCCCCACGUGCGGCUCUGUGCUGACAGCUCAGAGCCUGGAGCCUAAUUCAGAUUCUCUGUCUCCCUAUCUCCCUGCCCUUCCUCCACUCAUGCUCUGUCUCUUGCUCUCUUAAAAAUAAACAUAAAAAAAAAUAAAAGGGGGGUGCCUGGGUGGCUCAGUCAGUUGAAUGUCCGACUCUGGCUCAGAUCGUGAUCUCACAGUUCAUGAGUUUGAGCUCCGCAUCGGGCUCUGUGCUGAUAGCUCAGAGCCUGGAGCCUGUUUUGGAUUCUGUGCCUCCCUCUCUGCACCCACCCACUGCCCUCCAUGCUCUUUCUCAAAAUUAAAUAAACAUAAAAAAUUUUUAAAAAAAUAAAAGGAAGAUUAUAUUGGGUGAACUUGUCCUAUCCAGGUGAGCCCUUUAAAAGGGCCUCUAGGCCCUCAUGUAGUUUUGAAGGUAGAGAAAUUCUACUGCUGGCCGUAAAGAAGUAGCCAUUUUGUGAACUGUGGAGGUGAUUAUGGUACAAAGAUCUGAGAGAAGCCUGUAGGUGAGAAUUGUCCCUAGCAGACAGCCAGAAAACAGCAGCUUUAGUCCUAUAACCACCUGAAAAAGGACCUUGAGCCCUGGAUGAGAUCAUAGCCAGGACCAACACCUUUACUACAGCCUGGAGAGAUUCUAAGCAGUGAAUCCGGCUCACUAUACCCACAGCCCUGACCCAAAGAUACUGGGAGACAACACAUUUGUGUUGUUUGACACCAACACCGGUAAAGUUACAGUCGUCAGCUACGCAGAAAUAAACUAACACAAGAAGCCAGACGAUGGUUUCCCUUGGGGAAAUCUCCCAUUCAUGACUGGGAAUGAAAUCUGCUGUAGCUUCUGGAAUGCUGGUGAUGUUCUGUUUCUUGAUUUGGGUGUAGUAUGAGUGGAUGUUGACUCUAUAAAAAUCCAUCGAACUAGACACAACAUAUACAGUCCAUAAGGUGUGGUCCACCUCAAUACAAAGUUUACAUAAAAAGAAAAAUGAAAACAGAUGGACAUAGACAUUGGUAUGUUUUGUGUUAUUUUAUAUGUAAAGUAAUUUUAGUGCAUGUAUGAAUCAACUACACAUAGGAUGAUUUACAUUUAUUCAUAAGGGUUCCUAACAUGGCUGUAUUUCUCUUCAUCUGUUCCUGAGUCAUUUCAGUCCUGUCCUAAUUUUUCUCUUUUUUCAGUCCUGUCUCAAUUUGUAUUUCUUUUUCUCCCCAGAAAAAGGAAUGAGGGAAAGUAUGAGGGAAAAAGAAAAAAAAAAAGAACUACAACUAAAUUUUGGAAUGGAAUAUUAACAGUUUUAAGAUACACUGUGUAUUUUUGCACAAGCAAAUGGAAAGAAAGCAUCUGGGAAUCUGACCUGUGUCUAAGUGCUGCCAUACUGGCCUGACCCUUCACUACUGAGCUUCUUUGAACAAGUUAUUUAAUCUUUCUGAACAUCAAAGGUAAUUUCACUCCUUCUGUGGAUU